GACGAACGCUGGCGGCGUGCCUACUACAUGCAAGUAGGACGCAGUUGCGAACGGGUGAGUAACGCGUAGGUAACUACCUAUUAGAGGGGGAUAACUAUUGGAAACGAUAGCUAAUACCGCAUACUAGUAGAUGGACCUGCGUUGUAUUAGCUAGUAGGUAGGGUAAUGGCCUACCUAGGCAACGAUACAUAGCCGAACGGAGGAGGGGCUCGGCCACAAUGGGACUGAGACCCGGCCCAGAGUCCUACUGGAGGCAGCAGUAUGGAAUCUUCGGCAAUGGGGGGAACGCUGACCGGACAACGCCGCGUGAGUGAAGAAGGUUUUCGGAUCGUAAAGCUCUGUUGUUAAGGAAGCGGUACUUAACCAGAAAGGGACGGCUAACUACGUGCCAGCAGCCGCGGUAAUAC
rnacentral:rRNA from 1 species